CUAUAAUUUCAGUGCUCCAGUGAAAGACGGACGCUCGUUGAGCUUCCGCUGUUGUCGCUCAGUCAGUCGUCUCGUUGCUCGCGCUUGUUAGCUGCAUUACGAAAAACUCUGAGAGGACGUGGCUUCGAUGAUUUAGGGCACUUCUUUAUGGAAGGACUUUAUGCGACAUGCGCAUUAGAGGAAUACCGCGCGGAAACAGUUUAUCGCAUUUAUCCCAUCCUGGAUGAAGGCAAAUUAAUGAUAAUAAGAGCGCAGAGCUAUAAUUCGUAUAGAAUUAGCUACGAAUCAUCUCUCCUGCUGACUGAUCGUUAUCGGCAAUUUGCGACGUUUGCUCCCCCGUGGGAUUCGAGAUCUCGGGGUGUAUAUCUUCUUCCCCGGUUCGUUUCGCCUCUCUACACAUUUGUAUUACACGAAUGGAAUCUCGUUGGCAAAGAAUCAUUUCCGCGAUCACACAAGGGACAGAUAAGUAAAUUGUACACCGAUAAAUUUUAAUACAAUACAAUUUACUAAUGGAUAAAUAAUUAUACUGAAAUAAUAUAUGCUUGCCUACAGUAAAAACUUUUGUGUUAAAUUUUAACACAAGAUAAAUAUGUUAGAAAUAACACAAAUAUUAUGAAAAUAAUUAACACAAAAAUUUAAAACUGAUGAAAAUGUAAUUUGAAAGCAAAUUGUAGAACCAUAUUUCCUUAAUAAAAUUAAUUAAUGUACAAUAAUUAAUAUGCUAAAUUAAAUGUACUCUUUAUUAAUUUAUUUUGAAACAUUUACAUUGUAAAAUUAUAUUCUCUUUCUCAAAUCAAGUUGAACUUUUAUAACUAAAAAUCAUGAAUUCCAUAUUUGAUCCAUGUUCCGUGAUUUGUCUUGACAAAAGUACUCUCGGUGAUUUGCCUUUUGAGACGUGAUGAUCAAUUGAAAAUCUAAUAUGUUCUAAAUGAAUUUGAAUCUUUGGCGAUUAUCAUUCUUAGCUAAAACUACUUAAACUACAGUAAAUAAAACUAUAUUAUUUUUAUGUUAUUUAUUUAUCUCUAAAUUGUAUUAAUUUAACAUUAGAAAAUGUUGAAUAUCAAUUUAUUACAAAAUAUUUAAAUAACACGUUCACAUUCCAUUAAAUUAAUACUUGAAUAUCUUAAAAAUUGAACACCAAAUCAUCUAUUUUGUAAAUGCAAAGGUGAUCUAUCUUCCAUAACAGGCCCAGUUUCAAAUCAUUUUGAUAUAGUUACGGAUAUAAGAAAGACUCUAAAAGACCGGCUAAAAGUUAUCGAAAUUUAAAAACCUGCAUACUUGUUAGAUUAUUCUAUUUUUACGAAUAAAUAACAAUUUUGGUCAUGAAUAUCCAAAUUUUGGCUCUGAAAUCUGCUACAAAGGAAAAAAAUAACGAAAGAUUUGAGUUAUAACAGUUUAUGUAGCGAAAAUGAUCAUAUUUUGUUACAGUUUUAGAUAUGAAAUAACUUUAAAACAGUAAAUAGAAUUUUAAGACUAAACAGUAAAUAAAAAUUAAUAAAAUAACUUUUAAACUUAAUGAAAGAAUCAUGUUUAAAUUUUAUCAAGAUAUUGAUAACUUAUUGAUAAAAUAACUUGUAAAUUUUUUACAUUUUCAGUAAUACUUUGAAAUGUGACACAUAUCCUCUUAAAUACAGAUAAAGAAAUACGAAUAGAAUCAUGCGGGAGCGAUUUAGAACAGAAGCGGCAACGAUGAGAAAGAGAGGAGCGGCCGUUGAGUCUCAAUGCGGAGAAUUUCGAAAUCGCUAACAAUCGGUGGCAAGCGAGAUCCAUUGAUGUGCGACCGUGCAUAUGAAUAUAACUGCCGAGGGAUAGAAACACUCUCGAAGAAUGAUGGUUAUGAGAAAAGGAGUGCUUGAACACGGACGAUGGUCAGACUCCUGCGGUUCCAAUUACGAUUGAAAGGCGCUCCUGUUUGUUCACCUCCUACAACUGCGGACUCUUCAGUGCCUCAUAGAACCGUACUCUAACCCCAUAGCCACUUUUGAGUUCGUUUGUCGAUGUCGGGAAACGGAACGACACCGAUUACCCGACGUAACCGUGUUCCUGCUCUCAUGCAAAAUGCCGAGUAAUCAAAGGAACGAUUGUCAUCACAAAGGUGCUUGAUUGGCUCGUUUAUGGUACGGUAAUGCUUGGGCUACCGGAUGACACAGAAUCCUGCGAAGAAACACAAGUCUCUCGCUCUUCUAGAGAGUUUCCACGAAAUUGCAUGAAUAUAGUCAUUGGCAGCAUUAAGGUGCAUCGAGUUAUCAUGUUUUAUUUCCUAGUUACUAAGCUGUAACAAUAAUUAUAAAUAUCUAUAAAAUAUAAAUGUAGUAAAUAUAAGAUAAAUAAAAUUAAUAUAACGAAA
rnacentral:lncRNA from 1 species